rnacentral:tRNA from 1 species
GUCGGGGUGGCGAAACUGGCAGACGCACUACGUUUAGAGCGUGGCGGAGCAAUCCAUGGAGGUUCGACUCCUCUCCCCGACA